GUUUUAAUAGUUUAAUAAAAACAUUGGUCUUGUAAAUCAAAAUUGAAUAUUCAAUUCUUAAAACU
rnacentral:tRNA from 1 species